rnacentral:rRNA from 1 species
CUUUACUGUAGCUUGGUAUUGUGCCCGGGCUUUGACUGCGCAGGAUAGGUGGGAGACUAUGAAGCUGCCCUUGUGGGGGCAGUGGAGUCAUCAGUGAGAUACCACUCUGUCAAGGCUAGAAUUCUAACCGUCUGCCGUUAUCCGGCGACGGAACAGUAUCAGGUGGGCAGUUUGACUGGGGCGGUCGCCUCCUAAAUGGUAACGGAGGCGCGCAAAGGUUCCCUCAGGCUGGUUGGAAAUCAGCCGAAGAGUGUAAAGGCAGAAGGGAGCUUGACUGCAAGAGCAACAACUCAAGCAGGGACGAAAGUCGGCCUUAGUGAUCCGACGGCGCUGAGUGGAAGGGCCGUCGCUCAACGGAUAAAAGUUA